GCGUGAUUGCAGAUUCCGUGAAUCAUCGAGUCUUUGAACGCACAUUGCGCCCCCUGGUAUUCCGGGGGGCAUGCCUGUCCGAGCGUCAUUGCUGCCCAUCAAGCACGGCUUGUGUGUUGGGUCGUCGUCCCCUCUCCGGGGGGGACGGGCCCCAAAGGCAGCGGCGGCACCGCGUCCGAUCCUCGAGCGUAUGGGGCUUUGUCACCCGCUCUGUAGGCCCGGCCGGCGCUUGCCGAACGCAAAUCAAUCUUUUCCAGGUUGACCUCGGAUCAGGUAGGGAUACCCGCUGAACUUAAGCAUAUCAAUAAGCGAGGAA
rnacentral:rRNA from 1 species